CCAACGGCUCUUUUCAGAGCCACCUACAUAACUCAAAGAGCUUGG
rfam:Mesocricetus auratus contig023755, whole genome shotgun sequence.